rnacentral:pre_miRNA from 1 species
CGGAGGAACAACCCCAGUGGCUGUGGCAGCUCUGGAAACCUGGAUUCAGCUCCUGCAGUAACUCCGGAGCUAUCUGUCUGCAGGGGCCUGGAGGCUCCGGGGCAGG